AUGACAUUUUCUUUGAGCUGCAUUUCUUUCGGGAGACUUAUGUAUUAUGUAGGUGUUGAUUAUGCUCUGGCACUUACGGGAUUCGAUCUUACCACACAAAAAAGUGUUGUAAAAUGUUUCUAUAGAUCCUGGAUUUCCUGUAGCAAAGUAGACCUCAUGUAUAAGAUUUAUUAUCCAAUGAAACAAAAUCAUGUGCUCAUGGGAAAUCUUGUCUGUAGAGUACUAUUGUUUGGCAUUCCUCCUUUUCUUCAGCUGUUGGUUUUGUCGGCGUAUGCCAUGGGCAUUGGGCUAGUACAUCAGCCCCACAUAAUGUUUUUUCUUGCGGGCAAUGUUGAUUCUAAGCAGCUUCAAACAAAUGAGAUUUUGAAGGAUUCCUAG
rnacentral:rRNA from 1 species